CUGACACCUAAGAGAUAAAAAAAAAUGGACAAACUUUAACAGGAACGUACAGCAUAAUGUGUAGGUUUUACCAAAUUCCUUUUGGAAUUAAGUAUUCACAAUGUAAAUUCAUUUACGUUGCCACCUCAGAUUUUACAUUUCCUAGCGGCUAUCCAAGCUUUUUAGUUGUAAAAAGGCCGAAAUCCGAGAUGAAAGGCCCUGCCUCACCACAGCCCCCUGCUGCAGCUCGCCGUUUCCUUUAUCGUCAUUUCUCUAGCUUUUCCCUUAAAGACUUGAAGAGAAACACUUCCACCAACAGCCUAGGGGAAGGCGGAUCAUUCUGAUGUGAAAAACAGGCGGCUUGUUUUCAAAGAUGGACCAUCUCACUGCUCUUCAGGAACCUAUCCCUGCCAUGCUGUCGUGCCCUGAACAAGCCCUCUUGUGACAGAAAAUGGGACCACAGCAAGCAAAAUCCAGACAUGAAGUUGUCUGGCCCACAAAACUGGAGUCUGGGAAGGGUUUCCAAGAAGUGCCAGAUUUAGGGGUGUUGUUGAGGCUGCUGACUGCCUCCAAAACUUGGCAGUGAGGCUGGACAGCGUGGGGAACCUCACGUAGCCACUCCUGGCCCCUCCUGCUACCUUGCCUCUUGACAGGCCUGGUUUUCUCUUCACCUCAGGCGUGCAAGGAUGGGGGGGCAGAAGGGAGAGACUCAGGGUACAGAGGCACAGAAAGAAGGAGGAAGGCAGUGAGGGAGGAGGAGAGCGACUCGAGCUUCAGUAACUUUACUGUCAGUGCCAGUAACCGCAAGUUGGUGACGUUACUGGUUUUCUUGUGAAUUACUGGAUGUUCUCAGCAUUCUCAGUCCACAAUGCAUACAAGGCCCUCUUAGGCCCAGUAACAUUGCAUUGUAAGCAUACCCCAAGACAGCCAUUUUUCAAGGACAAUACUUGUAGACCUUUCAUGAAUAUUUUGGUAUUUGGGGGGGGGGGGGUGUGAUUUUUGAAAAGCGCUAAAGAAUAGUGUUUAACUGAAGUUUUCUUUUAAUCUUUAUGAACCUUGUAUAAUUUGUGCUGCCUAAAAUUAAAGGUUUAGACAAUGAGGUGGGCCUCACAGACUGAGCUAUAUCAGUUAUGGUGAUCAAUUCCAUCUGCUUUUGUUUUCAUCUCGGCAGAGUCUGAUCACUGAAGACUUUCUGUAGUGAAACCUCUAUCCACCCCUUGCCCCAAGUCCAGGAUUGGGGCUCAUCCUGUCCCCACAUUCCCAGUGCUCUGGACACUCUCUCUUAAAUCCCCCUUGACCAAACCACGUCAGGCUUAAUCUCUUAUAAUCGCUUCUUCUGUGGGAUGCAGGGCAGGAAGUUUCAUGACAAGAAUGAAAAAAGCCAAAAAAAACAAAAGCCAAACAAUACAGUCUAGUCAUAUUUGUUUCAAGUAGUGCCUCAAUAAGCCUCAUAAAUGCCAACAAUUCAGUCGGUGGCCUUCUGCUGUUUUGGAAUAUGACCUACAUCACCAGGCUCUAAUUCAGUUCCGGGCCGGUUCUGUGAUUUGCUCCCACUCGUUCCUCACUUAACUGGAGUCUGUUUAGUACUUUAUUCAUCUGUUGCGUUUAUAAAUAUGUGUUUCCUGAUAAACAUUACAUUGAAAUGUGCACAGAAAUGAGUGAGCGUAAUGCUAUAUGUACUUAAAGAUGUAGUUCACUAUUUUAAAAAAAGGUCUACAAAAUAUGCUCUUACAGUAUUGCAGCAACAAUUUUUAUAACAAACUGAAUUAAUGGUCCCUGAUGAAACAGUAUUUUUUUCUCUUUUACUUUUUUCUGAUAUUAGAGUGUCCUGGUCGCUGUUUAUAUUUCGCUCUCUUUCUCCCAGUCUGGCCCUCCAUGCUUUACUGUGUGAGAGGGAAACAGAUGAAAAACAGACAAACUAGAAUAUUUCAACUAUUUCUGUGGCUAGAAGAGCUUGAACCACUGGUUUGCACAAUGUAAAUUGAUUAAAUGCAGGGACAUGCAUCGCUUUUGCUUGAAUUUGGGAGCCAGGAUGUACACUACUUGGACAACAUAAUGUUCAGAAAGUUGAAUUUAUGGGUUCAAUCACUGAAAUCUCAAGAUAGGAUAUUAUAAAUGUUAACAUAACAGAGGUGUUUACCUUUCCUAUAAUAUUUAGGUAGGAAGAGCAGCAGGGAUAAGAGGUAAUGGAAUGUUACACGCACCAAAAGGUUACAAUGAUGUUCUCUUGGGUAAGGUAUUGUAAAAUCUAGUCACGUUCCUUUAAAAUUUGUAUACUCUACAGCAUACAGUAUAAGCCACUGAAUGAAAGGUCCUAACUUUGCCUGGUAUGGAUGUAUUGGAAAUGGUGAUUUCCAGAUGUGACCCAACUGGUUUCUUAGGGAUAUGUGGGAGAGUGGCACUUUAGUGUUUAAGAUGUUUUAUAUAUUGUGAUUGUGUAAUCUCAGUCAUCUUGUUUUGUACAAUCAAGUUUAUGUUAAUCUUUUCUGAUUAUAAUGUUAAUCCCUCAUUCAUUACUGUAUACUGGAUAAACAUUUGGGAAGUAGGUUUAAGAAUGGAUGAAUGAUGUCAAUGUUUGUCACAACCAUGCAGCAUAGAUGGCACUGUGGAACAGAGAGAAGGGCGUUAUUAAUCAAUCAAGUAAUAAUUGUGCCUGCCUGAGUAUUGAGAUGAUCUUUAUUAUGAACUAGUUGUGCAGUGCAAGCUGUGGUUCAGUGGUCCAGUGCCAGUAUAACAAAUGCUAUAUUAAAUGUUUCAUAUUAAUGUAAAAUACAGUAAUAUAUUAAAUUAGGAUUUAAAUAGAGUAAAACCCAAUCCUUUGUAUGUAUGACACUGAACUCAAGAUCACACAUAGAUAAACAUGAGCUGCCAGGGAGCAUCCUUAGAUCUGUGUAGUCACACAAACAUACAAAGAACCUGGUGUCCCUCCAACCAAAUCUAAAGUCAAUGAAUUACAAUAAUAUUAUUGUGCAUCAGCCUAUCACAGGGACUGAACACACUACAUCCCCCUCACAGCAGGCAAACAGCAAGCUGCAAGGGCCCAAGUUGAUCCCCCAGGGGUGCCAACAUAGUAACUGGACAAGAUGCCCUGGUGGUAUAAACCGACUUUACCCCUUUACGGGCUGAAACUGCACUCCUGGCAGUGAGUCCUCCCAGCAUUGCAUCUGGACAAGCCACUUGGGAGUCCAGUGCUCAACACUCUUCUGGCUUGUUUUCACAGUUUAUGAUGGUUAACAAGGGCUGUGGCAUGACAGGGUAAAGCCAUGGCAUGUUGCAAAUGGUAGUAAUAAGGAAACUAGCAACCACAUGUGAGUGAAAGAACAUGAAGCAGUUUACUGCCUGGAAGAAGCUUGAAGGUAACGGGCAGCUAAAAAUAAUGUGGGCCAUGAGAAACGGAAUAAAUGACCUUCCAAUCCAUAGUAGCCUAUCAGCAAAUGUCCUGGAAUUCGUAAGAGAAAUUUGUGAUUGCUACAGGAUCACUGGUUUAGACAAUCAACUAGUGUUUUUUGCCUGUCUUGCUGUUGACUCCACAGACCUAAAUUCUAGGAUGGAUGAUGGUGUAGAAUAUUUCUGAGGUCAUUCUGAGGGCUAUACUUCUUACGCUUAUAGAUGUGCCACCUGCUGGCACAAGAGCUGCAGAUCUGCCCAGCAAGUUCUUCUCACCAGCUUUGGUAUUUUGAUUAAACUUCAGUCACAGGUCACAUACCACUAAUACGUUUCAUACACCUGAGGAGAUUCACAAAAUGCAACAUUCAGACUAAAAUUCAGUUUGAGAACUGUUGAUUUUAGAAACAUUUGUAUUUGAGUCCAUAAAACUCAGUUCGUUAUGCUGCUUGGAGUUGCACUGUGUUUAUGUUUCGCAAAACAAUAUGUGACAAAUAAUGGGUUGUGGUAUGGUUUUUCAUAAGUCUUUUUCUCAACCUUUUAUUGACUUACCUACAAGGGACACAGCUAGUAAUUGAACUGUGACAGAAUUCUCUGAGAAUUAUUUUUUCUUGUAUCUAUUCCCAAUACAUCCUGGAGUCAGGUGAUAUCGCCAUUCAUUACCAUAGUUUUGGAUGAAUCAUUCUGUGACUCUAACUAACAAAGGAAAGCGCAGUACUUGAGGUUCACGGAAAACAACGUGGUCCACAAGACAGUACACUUCAGAGCAAGAUCGUUUGCUAUAGGCUCCUCUGCCCAUACUCUCAGAGUCUUUGAAUCUUAAACAAAGCCAAAGAACGCAUCUAAGGAACCUACUGCCAUUUUGCUUUGACAUGUUCACUGAAGUACUGUAUGUGUCCUCCAUCAUGUCGAUGUGACCCAGAGGUUCAAGAACGCAAUUUGAGCAGGAAAUACAAGGAAAGUUAUGGAUAUUUCUGAGGUCUCAUACGGGCCAUGUUCUGGAUGCUGUUUUUGGGCAGUUGGACCCAGCUGGGGCCUGGUCUACUGGAGAGUUAUGGGAAAAGCUGUAAUGUGGGGGUUACGUUGGAUAAAAGCUCACGUCCAGUGACACUGCAUGAAGCCAGAGAGCUGGCGUACUCUAUUGGCCCUCAGAGGGGACAUUGAGUUUCUGGAAUUGAUGCACCCAAAUGGAAACAGCCUAACGUGUCCUACUUCCUUGGUUGAUAUCUUUCCAUACAGAUGGCCUGUCUUUGGUGAUACGAUAUGAGCAAACUCUUAGAGAUCUUGUAGUACAAUCUGUGUCACUGUAACAUCAUAUUCCUGCAUCCAGUAACUUCAGAAAUUAUCAAUUGGUCAUGGGAUAAAUUUUUUGCAAGCCCGUGUUUGGCACACUUAGUUUAAUGAGAAGGCUGUAUCCUGUUUUUUGUGAAGUCAGCAAAUGCAGGCCUCGUGACUGGGGGCACCGGGCCAAUAUGACAGGGUGCAGCUGUGGUUUCAUUCUGGACACAGAGGGGUCAGAACAGGGUCUGGAAUGAUGGAGCUCUUAAAGAAUAACGACUCCUAACAGGAAUAUCCCCAAAUCUUUUCAGUGGCCUGACAUAACUUGUUUCCAGAGUCUUCAAAUUUCCAGGCAAAUAACAGAGUUAAAGGAAACAGGGAGUGUUUUAUUGCAAGUCGCAAAACUGUGGGACCAUCAGCCACUUUUUUGCACCCUGUCUUUAUGCACUUCUGCAAGGUCCUGUCUGGAGCAGGGAGAAUAGGUUGGCUUUUCUAAAGACAUUUUCUAACUUGUACCCUCUGUAAAUGUCCAUCUCCUUUCCAGGAAAUCUGAACAUCUAAUAAAUGGUGCUUGAUGAGAUUUCAUGUUCUAAUUCCAGGAAGGGUGCAUUUAGCAGCAGAGUUUUCAACUGGUUAAAUGUAGUUAUCAUAAUCUGUGAUUUUUUUUUUGUAAUAAUACUCUGCUCUUUGCAACCUGUAUGUACAAAUAAAAGCAACUGCACCGGUCUAUUUCAAUUUGUUAAAUGCUGCUUUAGCUCUUAGAAGUCAUUUCCCUUGAUGCAUACACAAAUCCUCAGAUAAGGCUAGCCUAAUUGUCGUCCCUAUUACACUAAAUGCUGUGCUCCCCGUGUAAACCACACUAAAUUACCACCAGAUGGGAGAUUAAGGCCUUGCAGAGGAGAUGUCGGCUCCAAGCGACGCUCCUCCCGAAGGGGAAGAAAAAUUCAUAUUUCCUGAUUGCAAUUGCACCCUCUCCCUUGGGACGGAGCAUUAUAGUGCGUAAAAAAAAAAAGGAGCAGUGCUGUCAUCACAACGACCACAGGGUCUCCAUCACAGAUUUGAAACAGCAGCUGAGGGCUUCCACAAGAGCAGCACAUCACUUUGAAUCUAGGUAAAAUGCAUAUGGACAAACAGCGCUGCUGACAUUGCCCAGUUUCCCCCGAGUUGCCUCUGGCCCCCAAAAGCCAUUCUUUUAGGGCAAUUGCCACAACGAUGGCUUUGUCCUGAUACUCAGAUCAGAUCUUAGAUCCUCUGCAUCUGGCCUUAUACCAGGUCCUAUUCAGAAGAAACCUCAAAGCCCAA